rnacentral:rRNA from 1 species
UACGUAGGGUGCAGGCGUUAAUCGGAAUUACUGGGCGUAAAGCGUGCGUAGGCGGUUUGUUAAGACAGAUGUGAAAUCCCCGGGCUCAACCUGGGAACUGCAUUUGUGACUGCAAGGCUAGAGUACGGCAGAGGGGGAUGGAAUUCCGCGUGUAGCAGUGAAAUGCGUAGAUAUGCGGAGGAACACCGAUGGCGAAGGCAAUCCCCUGGGCCUGCACUGACGCUCAUGCACGAAAGCGUGGGGAGCAAACAGG